rnacentral:rRNA from 1 species
CCUACGGGUGGCUGCAGUGGGGAAUAUUGCACAAUGGGCGCAAGCCUGAUGCAGCCAUGCCGCGUGUGUGAAGAAGGCCUUCGGGUUGUAAAGCACUUUCAGCGGGGAGGAAGGCGGUGAGGUUAAUAACCUCAUCGAUUGACGUUACCCGCAGAAGAAGCACCGGCUAACUCCGUGCCAGCAGCCGCGGUAAUACGGAGGGUGCAAGCGUUAAUCGGAAUUACUGGGCGUAAAGCGCACGCAGGCGGUCUGUCAAGUCGGAUGUGAAAUCCCCGGGCUCAACCUGGGAACUGCAUUCGAAACUGGCAGGCUAGAGUCUUGUAGAGGGGGGUAGAAUUCCAGGUGUAGCGGUGAAGUGCGUAGAGAUCUGGAGGAAUACCGGUGGCGAAGGCGGCCCCCUGGACAAAGACUGACGCUCAGGUGCGAAAGCAUGGGGAGCAAACAGGAUUAGAUACCCUAGUAGUC